CUCCAGCAGCACUGUCAUCCUGCUUAUCAUUUGGUUUUUCAGCAUGGCUAACAAUGUGAAAUGACCAAGUUGCCUGGAGUGAUGUUAAAGUCAGAAGGGCCAGAGAAGGUGGAAGGCAGGAAGAUGUUGCCGAGAGCAAGAAGCAUAAAGCAAUGGGUUACAGACCCCAGACUUCUUAGCGUUCUACUACUUAACUGAAUUCCUUGAAACCG
rnacentral:lncRNA from 1 species